AACGCACCUUGCACCUUUUGACUUUGUCAUUAGGUAUACUUGUUUGAGUAUCGUAUUCAUACUCUCACCUACUUUCGUGUGCAUAUCCGUGCACAUGGAGGUGGGUGAGGAGCUGAAAGUCUGGCCGGGUUGCUGACCCAUGAUGGUGCGCUAGUCUUUUUAAAUGGAUACCUGGCAAAGGACCUCUUGUCUCGGUCAAGAAGAACGCAGCUUGCUUGCUGCUUCCUUUCCUUGACGGUCUAAUGGGAUAACAUCCAUCGUUAGACUAUGGGAGGCGCCUUGACGCACAACAGGUACAACACGGAUGCGUGCGUGACUACUGUGACGGCAGACACGCGACACAUCACAUUCGUGCAUACCGAUCUCAAAUCAAGUAGGACUACCCGCUGAACUUAA
rnacentral:misc_RNA from 1 species